ACAACAUCAUGAUGUAACAAUCCAAUGGGCAUUUUCAUCAAAAAUAAAACAACUCAAGUCAACCCUGUAAACAACUCAGGUACUCCUGGUCAUCCCAGUCCUAUGGCUGUAACCACCAGUACACAUCACACCAUCACCUCCAUCAAAAAGUAGAACCAUGGCUAUCCAGAACAGUACUCUCUGAACCUCACCUUCUUGGCGCUAGGUCCCCCCUUCUUCUUUGCAGGGGCAUCCGUGGUCCAUGGUGUUCGGCAACCGCGACAACAUACCCUCGAGUGGUUCUCUCACCUGCAAUUGUGUCAACUUUAAGUUCAGGUCAAACAAACAGUCCAAUUCCCUUUGAAUUCAGUGUGCAGCUUCUCAUUGAGUGGGUGAUUGCCGAGCUCAACCGCAUAGUUGUUUUAUUUGAAAUAGUUAGCUUGGAUCCACCCGAGAGAAACACACGUAUGUAGAAGUGCAAAGCUAAGCAAGCUGCUUGAUUGAUUUUACUGGGAUGGCAGCGUAGAUGUUCGUACAAGAAUGACCUGAACCUUGGUUCUGGCUGGCUACAGAUUUAGUCAAUCAAAUCGACCCUCCCUCAUGCAUGUGAGCUGGUGAUAGCCCAAGGUGUGCUCGAAGCAUGUCAAGAUCCGCCCUGUGUGGGAUCCUAAACACAUGCUGGGUAUCCUGCAAGGACCAAGAGCAUAAAACAUAAGGCUGCAAGGAAUUGCAUGAAGCAACUGUAAUACAGUAUGAGACAGCGAGCAGAGAAGCCAUAUCUGUUCGUGCUUCUUCAGUUCAGAUCAGUUCAAGAGGAUGUGUCAUAUAGGGUCGAACCCAUCCAAUAUCACACGUGCAUCCUAGCUCAACUGGUUGACCCCAGUGUCAACCCAUCAGGAGGUCCUGGGUUCAAACGCAAUGUUCUCCUUUUUCUCCUACUAGAUGGAAAGUGCGGCUUGCCGCACCCCGCACCCCUGCAGGGUGCAGUCGUAUCCCCCCCGCGGUCGUAUUCAACCUGAUAAUAAAGCUAUCAGAUCAAAGGUGUAAGAACAACAUCAUGAUGUAACAAUCCAAUGGGCAUUUUCAUCAAAAAUAAAACAACUCAAGUCAACCCUGUAAACAACUCAGGUACUCCUGGUCAUCCCAGUCCUAUGGCUGUAACCACCAGUACACAUCACACCAUCACCUCCAUCAAAAAGUAGAACCAUGGCUAUCCAGAACAGUACUCUCUGAACCUCACCUUCUUGGCGCUAGGUCCCCCCUUCUUCUUUGCAGGGGCAUCCGUGGUCCAUGGUGUUCGGCAACCGCGACAACAUACCCUCGAGUGGUUCUCUCACCUGCAAUUGUGUCAACUUUAAGUUCAGGUCAAACAAACAGUCCAAUUCCCUUUGAAUUCAGUGUGCAGCUUCUCAUUGAGUGGGUGAUUGCCGAGCUCAACCGCAGAGUUGUUUUAUUUGAAAUAGUUAGCUUGGAUCCACCCGAGAGAAACACACGUAUGUAGAAGUGCAA
rnacentral:lncRNA from 1 species